UCAGGUUCUGAACGGAUUAAUAGGGAACGCUGUGAGAAUCAGCGGCUAUGCCCGUAGCUGUGAGUCCUGAUUUGCGCCUCCACCAUGAUGUCACUGACUUUUUCGGUCGGGAAGGCGGUGGAGGGGAGGACGAGCCAGAAGACCUGCCUGCACC
rnacentral:ncRNA from 1 species